AGUGAACGCUGGCGGCAGGCCUAACACAUGCAAGUCGAGCGGCAGCGGGUUCCCGCGAGGGGAUGCCGGCGAGCGGCGGACGGGUGAGGAACACAUCGGAAUCUGCCUGGUUGUGGGGGAUAACGUAGGGAAACUUACGCUAAUACCGCAUGCGACCCUGAGUCGACGGACUGGGGGUGAAAGCGAGGGACCUUCGGGCCUCACGCGACCAGAUGAGCCGAUGUCGGAUAGCUAGUUGGCGGGGUAACGGCCCGCCAAGGCGACGAUCCGUAGCUGGUCUGAGAGGAUGAUCAGCCACACUGGGACUGAGACACGGCCCAGACUCCUACGGGAGGCAGCA
rnacentral:rRNA from 1 species